GCGUGGAUGUAAACAAAAACAGAUUCGGUUUCGUUUUCCAACGUGCAUUUCGUAAAAAAAUAAAAAAAACACAAUAUUUUCGGGAAUGUGGAUUCCAGAGAAAUACAUUCUGAAAUAUGAGGAGGAUCACUGGAUGAACAAACAUGAACAUGUUGAAUGCUUCAUUUUGCAGAUGAUGCGCCCCUACAGCAGUUCGGCUCCGACGAAAUGGACAUCAAGGACAUUGAUCCGCUGGAUCAACAACAGCAUAAUGGCACUGAACUGGCUGCCGAUUCAAACUCAUCCCAACCGGCAGGAGAGAAAAUAUUCUCGAUCAAAGCCUAGUGAUACCGGUUCUAUAAGUACCAGUUCAAUGUCAGCGGUGAUAGACGCACCUCCGCCUUCAUCACCGGAAUGUCCACCACAAAGA